CUCCUCCAUUGAAACUCGUAAGGAUAACCUUUGUUGGAAUCAUGUCACCCUCUGUUUUUGCAAAUUUCCUCAUCAUCCUAGAUGAAAUGGUGUUUAUAGCUGCUCCAUUUUCGACAAGCACUUUUGCCACAGGGAUGCCGUUAACUAGAGCUUUAACGUACAAUGGCAUCAAGUGUUUAGUCAAUUUCAUGGCUGGCCGUUUAAAAAUAACCUUUUCGGCAACCUCUAUUUCUACUUCCUGCUUAUUUUCUGUCGAAUUAUCCCCCUGUGAUAAGUCGACGUGCAGUAUAUCGCGCUGAGUCUCUGUCUCCUGAAUUUCCUUCUUACUGUUUUCUAAUGCUUCUUCAUUAGUUACCCAACCUGUGGGAGGGAGCAUUAUUCUUGGAGGUGAUCCAUACUUUUCAAAGCGAGGCACUCUCUUCUUCCUUUUGGGUGUCCCGUACAGUACGUAGAAAUCGAAAGGACGCCCAGAUGAUUCUCCCAACAAGUCUACUUCGCGAACUCCCUCUCGAUGUAGUUGCUUCAACAGAGUAUUGUGCGAUACUCCUCUCCUUCUUCCUUCUGCUUCUAGGUCGAUUUCUUCUUCAAUGUCUAUCAUCC
rnacentral:lncRNA from 1 species